AAAGAAAUGUCAGAGUUGUUAAAAUUGACAGAACCAUUUUCUGUGCUUGCAGUUGAGAAGAAGAAAAAGAAAAUCCAUGCUAUUGCUGUAGUCACAUCUCCAACCACCAGUGUUACAGCCACUGUGUGCGCUAAACAAGUGCAGGAGUGAAGAUGGAAAAUCCAUUAAAUCUGUGCAUGGGUGGUUUUCAGAAUACCUGCAUUUUCAGACAUCUGCUGAGGUGGUUGAAAGAUCUGUCUUUGCUGAAGUGUGCUCUGUCACAUCCCUCCUGCCCACCGCACACACCUACGCCUGAGCCCAGCUUAAGCUUCUGCACUGUGACAUCAAGCAUCUCUCUUUGGGCCUUAGAUUGCAGAGACAAAAACAAGGAUUGACUCAUCGGGGCAGCUGCCCAUGUUACUCACACGGCUGAGAAGCUCGAAACGUUAUUGGAGAGAUGACAGAAUGGUGAUGGCUGUAGCUAUCAAACUGUAAGAGUUUUGUGGAAGACUGGAGACAAUGUUUGGGAGGACAACAACAGAACCCUGAAAGUCAGAUCCUCUACGAGCAGGUGGUUGUCUCCUUCUGCUCAGAGCAGAGGGUCCUGUUGGGUAGAGGGCUCUGCUCGCACUGUGCAGAGGCAGGGCAGAGGGCCUGAAUCCUGAAACAGGAAAAUCCUCUAGACCACAGAAGAGACACUGUUUCUCCAGCGCUCUUUCUCUCUGCCUGUGCUCAGCCUUGUUCUUACGGCCCACUCACGGUAGACUGACUGAACAGGUUGGGUCUUUGGAGAUGGCCCAGUCGGUAAGGUACUGGCCAUUUAAGCAUGCUGUCUUGAUUUUAAAUCCCCAGUUGGGCAUGACAAGGCAUACUUAUAAAUCCCAGUGCCAAGGAGGCAGAGAUAGCCAAGUCACUGGAACUCACUGACCACCCAGUCUACCCAAAUUGGCGAGUACCAGGCUCAGUGAGAAACCCUGUCCCAAAAAAUAAGGUGGACAGGAAGAUGUCCAGUGUCAACCUC
rnacentral:lncRNA from 1 species